UACGUAGGGGGCAAGCGUUGUCCGGAUUUAUUGGGCGUAAAGGGCGCGUAGGCGGCCCGGUAAGUCAAAGGUGAAAUCCCUCGGCUCAACUGAGGAACUGCCUUUGAAACUGUCGGGCUUGAGGCCGGGAGGGGGUAGCGGAAUUCCCAGUGUAGCGGUGAAAUGCGUAGAUAUUGGGAGGAACACCAGUGGCGAAGGCGGCUACCUGGACCGGUUCUGACGCUGAUGCGCGAAAGCGUGGGUAGCAAACAGG
rnacentral:rRNA from 1 species